rnacentral:tRNA from 1 species
ACCUGGCUGGCUCAGUGGGUAGAGCGUGGGGCUCUUGAUCUUGGGGUCGUGAGUUCAGGCCCCACGCUGGGCA